ACAGUGGCUAAGACUGGAUAGGAAGAUAAAAGGCAUCUUUUAUCUUUUAAAAGACCUAGUAAUAGGUAUGCUUUAGGAGGGGCUUGCGCCAUAUUAGUUAGUUGGUAGGGUAAUGGCCUACCAAGACGAUGAUGUGUAGCUGGACUGAGAGGUUGAACAGCCACAUUGGGACUGAGACACGGCCCAAACUCCUACGGGAGGCAGCAGUAGGGAAUUUUCGGCAAUGGAGGAAACUCUGACCGAGCAACGCCGCGUGAAUGACGAAGUACUUCGGUAUGUAAAGUUCUUUUAUCAAGGAAGAAAAGCAAAUGGCGAACCAUUUGUUUGCCGGUACUUGAUGAAUAAGCCCCGGCUAAUUAUGUGCCAGCAGCCGCGGUAAGACAUAAGGGGCAAGUGUUAUCCGGAAUUAUUGGGCGUAAAGGGUGCGUAGGCGGUCUAGUAAGUCAGUGGUGUAAUGGCAACGCUUAACGUUGUCCGGCUAUUGAAACUGCUAAACUUGAGUUAGAUAGAGGCGAGUGGAAUUCCAUGUGUAGCGGUAAAAUGCGUAAAUAUAUGGAGGAACACCAGAGGCGUAGGCGGCUCGCUGGGUCUUAACUGACGCUGAGGCACGAAAGCGUGGGGAGCAAACAGGAUUAGAUACCCUGGUAGUCCACGCCGUAAACGAUGAGUACUAAGUGUCGGGUUAAACCGGUACUGAAGUUAACACAUUAAGUACUCCGCCUGAGUAGUACGUACGCAAGUAUGAAACUUAAAGGAAUUGACGGGACUCCGCACAAGCGGUGGAUCAUGUUGUUUAAUUCGAAGAUACCCGAAAAACCUUACCAGGUCUUGACAUGUUUUUGCAAAAUGAUAGUAAUAUCGUGGAGGUUACCAGAAACACAGGUGGUGCAUGGUUGUCGUCAGCUCGUGUCGUGAGAUGUUAGGUUAAGUCCUAAAACGAGCGAAACCCUUAUCGUUAGUUGCCAGCACGUUAUGGUGGGGACUUUAACGAGACUGCCAAUGAUAAAUUGGAGGAAGGUGAGGAUCACGUCAAAUCAGCAUGCCCCUUAUGACCUGGGCUACAAACGUGAUACAAUGGCUGUUACAAAGGGUAGCUGAAACGCAAGUUCUUGGCCAAUCCCCAAAAACAGUCCCAGUCCGGAUUGAAGUCUGCAACUCGACUUCAUGAAGUUGGAAUCGCUAGUAAUCGCGAAUCAGCAUGUCGCGGUGAAUACGUUCUCGGGGUUUGUACACACCGCCCGUCAAACCAC
rnacentral:rRNA from 1 species